GACGAACGCUGGCGGCGUGCUUAACACAUGCCAGUCGAACGGAAAGGCCCUGCUUUUGUGGGGUGCUCGAGUGGCGAACGGGUGAGUAACACGCGAGUAAACUGCCCUUGACUUUGGGAUAACUUCAGGAAACUGGGGCUCAUACAGGAUAGGAGCUCCUGCUGCAUGGUGGGGGUUGGAAAGUUUCGGCGGUUGGGGAUGGACUCGCGGCUUAUCAGCUUGUUAGUGGGGUAGUGGCUUACCAAGGCUUUGACGGGUAGCCGGCCUGAGAGGGGGAACGGGCACAAUGGGACUGAGGGAGGGACCAGAAGCCUACGUGAGGCAGCGGUGGGGAAUAUUGCGGAGUGGGCGGGAGCCUGAGGCAGCAAUGCCGCGUGCGUGAUGAUGUCUUUCGGGUUAUAAACCACUUUCUACGUUGACAUAGCGGUAUUGACGGUAAUUGGUAAAGAGGCACCGGCUAACUACGUG
rnacentral:rRNA from 1 species